AGCUGAUCUGCUGGGGAGACAGCCUGAAGCUGUGCUGAGGGAGAGCUGAUCUGCUGGGGAGACAGCCUGAAGCUGUGCUGAGGGAGAGCUUAUCUGCUGGGGAGACAGCCUGAAGCUGUGCUGCUGAGGGGAGAGCUGAUCUGCUGGGGAGACAGCCUGAGGCUAUGCUGCUGAGGGGAGAGCUGAUCUGCUGGGGAGCCAGCCUGAAGCUGUGCUGAGGGAGAGCUGAUCUGCUGGGGAGACAGCCUGAAGCUGUGCUGAGGGAGAGCUGAUCUGCUGGGGAGACAGCCUGAAGCUGAUCUGCUGGGGAGACAGCCUGAAGCUGUGCUGAGGGAGAGCUGACCUGCUGGGGAGACAGCCUGAAGCUGUGCUGAGGGAGAGCUGAUCUGCUGGGGAGACAGCCUGAAGCUGUGCUGAGGGAGAGCUGAUCUGCUGUUGUCAAGUUGGGUGGGGGACCAUUCUUUAUACCCACUGGAAACGGUUGAGCGUGAAAAGCCCAGCAGCGAUGCAGUUCUUGACGCAAACCACUGUGCCUGGCACCUACUACCAUACCCCAUUCAAAGGCAAAUAAAGCAGGUGUUCUUAAUAUACAAAACAUUAAGUGUAUAACUAUAUUUUCCAUUAUCACCGGACUACCUUUGCACAUUCACUUAAACAUAAAUUGAUUUUGUUACUACAUUUCCCAUCACCCCUUUAAUCGGGCUAAUUCCCACCAUUAACUUGUUUGUUGCCUGGUAAUUGACAUGUCCCCCUCCCCUCUGUGUGUCGUUUUCAUAUUUACUUUAUUUCUUGCCCAGCCUGUACCCCUUCACUGUCCCCUUCCCAUCUCUCUCCCUCUCCUCCUCUCUUGUCUCAUAUCUAUCUCUCUUUCUAUAUCCCGUUCCCAUCUCUCUUCCUCCUCUUUUCUAUCUCCAAUCUCACUCUUUCUCCCUUCCCCAACAUUGCCUGUGUUGCAUUGUGUGCCCUGGCCUGUGUGUGUGUGGUGUGGCUGUGCUGUGUGUAGUACAUGCUGGAGAGAGCUCGCGAGCUGAAGCCGGACCUGUAUAUGGUAGCUGAGCUGUUCACCGGCAGCGAGGAGCUGGACAAUGUCUUCGUCACUAGACUGGCCAUUAUCUCCCUCAUCAGAGGUAAGAGCC
rnacentral:lncRNA from 1 species